AAACUCAAAGGAAUUGACGGGGCCCGCACAAGCGGUGGAGCAUGUGGUUUAAUUCGAUGCAACGCGAAGAACCUUACCUGGACUUGACAUCCCAGGAAUUCCCUGGAAACAGGGAAGUGCCCUUCGGGGAGCCUGGUGACAGGUGCUGCACGGCUGUCGUCAGCUCGUGUCGUGAGAUGUUGGGUUAAGUCCCGCAACGAGCGCAACCCCUGUCUUUAAUUGCCAUCAUUCAGUUGGGCACUUUAAAGAGACUGCCGGUGUUAAACCGGAGGAAGGUGGGGAUGACGUCAAGUCCUCAUGGCCCUUACAUCCCGGGCUACACACGUGCUACAAUGGCAGGUACAGAGGGCUGCGAAGCCGCGAGGUGGAGCGAAUCCCAGAAAACCUGUCUCAGUCCGGAUUGAAGUCUGCAACUCGACUUCAUGAAGGCGGAAUCGCUAGUAACCGCGAAUCAGCAGGUCGCGGUGAAUACGUUCCCGGGCCUU
rnacentral:rRNA from 1 species